rnacentral:rRNA from 1 species
AUGGCUCAGGAUGAACGCUAGCUACAGGCUUAACACAUGCAAGUCGAGGGGCAGCAUUGAGAUAGCUUGCUAUUCAGAUGGCGACCGGCGCACGGGUGAGUAACGCGUAUCCAACCUUCCCUAUAGUAGAGAAUAGCCCGGCGAAAGUCGGAUUAAUGCUCUAUGUUCUUCUUUGAUGGCAUCUGACGAGAAGCAAAGGUUCACCGCUAUAGGAUGGGGAUGCGUCUGAUUAGCUUGUUGGCGGGGUAACGGCCCACCAAGGCAACGAUCAGUAGGGGUUCUGAGAGGAAGGUCCCCCACAUUGGUACUGAGACACGGACCAAACUCCUACGGGAGGCAGCAGUGAGGAAUAUUGGUCAAUGGGCGAGAGCCUGAACCAGCCAAGUAAGCGUGCAGGAUGACUGCCCUAUGGGUUGUAAACUGCUUUUAUAGGGGAAUAAAGUGAGGAACGUGUUCCUUUUUGUAUGUACCCUAUGAAUAAGGACCGGCUAAUUCCGUGCCAGCCGCCGC